ensembl:lncRNA
CCUGGAGAAUCCCGUGGGCUAUAGGCAUCGCAAAGAGUCAGACACAACGGAGCGACUUUCACCUCCCGUAAUGUAACUACACUCACUUAAGUAAUAUAGUGUUAGUAUAAACAUCUAGUAUUUUACUAUUGAAACUUUUUACAUUUUAACAUUGAAUGUUCCAUGCUUACUUUUAAGGAUGUCGGAAAGUAACAGAAAUUGCAUAAUUAUUAUUUUAUAUUUUUGAUAUGCAUCUGUGCAUUUUAUUAUUUUAAAUUGCUUAAUAUAUAAAAUGUAAAUAUAAAUAUAUAAUGUGCUUUCUGUGUUAUAUAUCUGUGUUCUCAGUCGCUGAGUUGUGUCUGACUCUUUGCGAGCCCAUAGACUGUAGCCUGCCAAGCUCUUCUGUCCUUGGGAUUCUUCAGGCGAGAGUACUGCAGUGGGUUGCCAUUCUCUUCGCUAGGAGAUCCUGUUGACCCAGGGGUGAAACCUGUGUGUCUUGUGUCCCCUGCAUUGGAAGCAAAAUAUCCCUCCACGGAAUGUUCCCCAGAAACACAGAAGCAAAGUCCCCAGGGACCUUAAUCCUCUGGAGGAGUGAGAAAUACCAGAGCUGGAAGAAGUGUUUACUGUGCCAUGGGGCCCUUCUCCCUCUGUGCAGAGGGUUUCAGCACCCACCGUGGCCAGAACCCUGACGUCCGGGUCUUUCCAUGAAUGAACCAGGCCCCUAGCGUUCACUUUGCGUCUCCGCAGCGAGGCAAACAAGCUUUACGGUUCCUUGUGUCGCAUGUGGAAAGCAGUUACAGGAUCAGCGCUGCCGUGAGACAAACCGUCGUGAGGAACUCACGCCCGAGGGGCUUUAGAAUCUGAAACGGGUGAGUCAAGUGCGAGCUACGGAUUCUGCAUCCUCCGUCAGUUUCGCCUUUUGUUUUCGCUUGCGGACAGCCAUCUCCAGGGUCUCGUCGGUUUUGUGUGCAGCCAGCCG